rnacentral:rRNA from 1 species
UACGUAGGGGGCUAGCGUUGUCCGGAAUCAUUGGGCGUAAAGCGCGUGUAGGCGGUUCGGUAAGUCCGCUGUGAAAGUCGGGGGCUCAACCCUCGAAUGCCGGUGGAUACUGUCGGGCUAGAGUGCGGAAGAGGCGAGUGGAAUUCCUGGUGUAGCGGUGAAAUGCGCAGAUAUCAGGAGGAACACCGGUGGCGAAGGCGGGUCUCUGGGCCGAUACUGACGCUGAGGAGCGAAAGCGUGGGGAGCGAACAGG